rnacentral:rRNA from 1 species
AGUGAACGCUGGCGGCAGGCCUAAUACAUGCAAGUCGAACGGAAGCACAGUAAGCGUUCGCCCCUAAGGGUGGCGAGUGGCGGACGGGUGAGGCAUACAUCGCCAUCUACUUUUUCGUGGGGGAUUACGUAGGGAAAGUUACGAUAAUACCGCAUACGACCUACGGGUGAAAUCAGGGGAUCUUCGCACCUUGCCUGUCUGAAUGAGCUGAUGUCGGAUUAGCUAGUUGGCGGGGUAAAGGCCCACCAAGGCGACGCUCCGUAGCUGGUCUGAGAGGAUGAUCAGCCACACUGGAACUGAGACACGGUCCAGACUCCUACGGGAGGCAGCAGUGGGGAAUAUUGGGCAAUGGGCGCAAGCCUGAUCCAGCCAUACCGCGUGAGUGAAGAAGGCCUUCGGGUUGUAAAGCCCUGUUAUUGGGAAAGAAAAGAAGCAGGUUAAUACCCGGCUGUUCUGACGGUACCCAAAGAAUAAGCACCGGCUAACUUCGUG